rnacentral:lncRNA from 1 species
GCACGCAUGCGUAGCUAUUUGCCCAGCCCAUGCAAGACCGGCCCAAAGAAGUUAUAAUGACCCAGGGGUGCACGGUUUUGGUAGGCCCGCUUUAUUAGAACAGAAGCCCAAGGUGAAGCCAUUUUCUGUUUGCUUCUGAGGCCCUUCUUAUAUACCCAACGCAAGAAAAGUACGAUUUAUUUUAAUUUGUGUAAUUUCCAUGUUCUAAAAAGAUUUCAAAACCGUAAUAUAUAUUAGAUAUGAACUUUGGAAUUCCCACCGGCCAUUAUCUUGUGCUAGCUGGCUCGAUCAUAUUUGUGAGCUCAAGAGACAUAGUCCAUCGAAAUGUAUACAAAAAAAUAUAUAUAUGAAAUUGCAUCAUUCCAUCACGACAACCAAAUGUAUAAAAUAUCUACAUUUUUCAAUAAAGUAGAGAAAACCAGCUAUCGUGUGUGGACAUUUUUUUUAAAAAACUUUGGAAAAGAUAAGGCAGUUGGCUAGGGCUUAUCUGGUACAUGGGUGUGUAAACUAAUGGACAAACAGGAACGCGUCAUGUGGUCGUGAUUUUAAAAACCUUUUUGGCAGUGAGAGGGGGGAACAAUAACACGCCAAUCGGCAUCAUUUCCUUUGGAAAUAAUACUAUUACCACGUCACACUGACUAAAGUUGUAUCGUAUAAUAAUAUAAUUUACACCACCUAGAUCACCCAAAUCCAUAAUUCGCGUAAAAUAAGAUACUAUAAUCUUGUCCUAUUGAUCACAUCAAAUCGGUCAAAAUUUGUCCCCCCACUAUAAUAUAAUUCAGUCAAAUUAAGCCUCUAUAGCUUAGCAUUUUUUUAUGAUGCGCUAGUAUAUAUAAUUUGGCGGCAAGAAAUUGGGCCCAGAUGCAUGUGAAUUCUUUGGAAAUCGUAAUUAACUAAGUGCUUCUACACCCUUCCCGAAUAUACAGAAGGAAUUAAUAAUACAU